rnacentral:misc_RNA from 1 species
AUACUGAGUCACUGCAGCAGGGUCGUCGGGAUCAAUGGUUAUCUUUUCCUUCCGAAGUAUCCCAAGGGCAGUCUCGAAUUUGUUCUUCACGUCAUAGAAGAUGUUCUUCAACAUCUCAUCUCCCUUGAGAGCAGCAGCUUCUUUCGCAAAGGACCGCACAUGCACAGCAUGAUCUCGCUGAAGAAUAGCUCCACCAGCAUACAACUGUUUGGAUCGGGAGAGGAGGCGGGAAGCCAUGGCCAUGGCGGGCGAGCUUG